AGAGUUUGAUCCUGGCUCAGAACGAACGCUGGCGGCGGGCCUCAUACAUGCAAGUCGAGCGCGAAAGUCCGCAAGGAUGAGUAAAGCGGCGCACGGGUGAGUAACACGUGGAUAAUCUACCCUUUGGAUUGGAAUAACCUGUCGAAAGACGGGCUAAUGCCGAGUAAGUUCUCGGGAGCGUGAAGCUCCUGCGAAGAAAG
rnacentral:rRNA from 1 species